rnacentral:tRNA from 1 species
GCCUUCGUGGUGUAGCGUUCAGCACACUCGGCCCGUAUUAGAGAGGUCAGAGGUUCAAGUCCCGGCGAGGGCA